CAAAAAAAAAGACAUAAAAUAAAGCAUAUGUAUAUUACUCGUGCUUUCUAAGUUAUCCCUGUGCCUACAGCCUUCCUACUAAGGGUUGCAUUUGGCACAACUUAACUUCAACCACUCAAACCUAAACAUAACCUCAAUUACUCUUUAAAAAUAUCCUAAAGUGGGGCUGGGGAUAUGGCCUAGUGGCAAGAGAGCUUGCCUCGUAUA